rnacentral:misc_RNA from 1 species
CCGGUCGGCCUAUGGAACCACCGUUGUGUGCUCCGUGCAUUACGUCGAAGGCAAAUACGCCCUCUAAUCGGUGUGUGCUUGCACGCAUCGGUGGCGCUUGAUAGAAAUUCAAGCGUUGACGCUGAACCUAACGAGAAAUCGAUGAUCUGCCGAGAAUGAUGACGAAUCGUGAAAGCGAUGAUGACCCGGUGAGCCCCAAAUCGUGAAAGCGUUAGGCGAAAGCGUCCGCAUUAAGUUGGUUGCGUCUGCUGGCUCCAACCCGGGUGUAGAUUAUUAAUCUUUUGAUAGUCUCAAGCUCGCGAUGACGAUUUUCGAGUGAUUAUCUUCCUGGAUCGUUGUCAAUCGGGCUUGCUUGGUUCACAAGCUCGUGAUGGGUACCGUCUCUUGUUGGUUCCGUUGCUGCCUGGUCUUGCUUAUAUAUAUGUGCGUKCYNGGACUUGUUUCUCAUGCCUCGUUAGCGAUUUGAAUCCAUCGCUUUGAAUGGGCUCGUUUCUUUAGGUGACUUGAUUUGAUGAUGAUGUUACUGUGCGUUGAUUAAGUUCUGCUUUCGAUCAAUGGCCUGUGCGUUGAUUAAGCUUUGCUUUUGAUCAAAUGCCACAGCUUCGGAGUCGUUUGGUCUUUGUUGCGUGAGCAACAUGAGUGACGGGUUCCUUCUACGUGGAUAUAUAUAAGCAAGCGAUGAUGCAACGGUGCUUACCUGUGACAGUACCCCAUGGACCCUUCCUGAUGGACCCUUCCUGAUGACGGUUUACAUUCUUGAUUUUCCCAUCGUUCGGGGCAUUCUGGGGCUGUUUUGGCUAUUGGUUGCUUGUUUGGUCUUGAGCCGAAUGGGUGGCUUCUAGCCUGGUGGCUUCGGGGAUGUUGACCGUAAAGGUGGAUGAGUGGUGUUUGGUUUGUUACGUGUGGUUGGCUGCGGCGUUUGCAACAACUUCCAUGCUUUCAGACCUCUUCAUUUGUGCGGCAAGGCUUGUAUCGCCUUGAGCGUAUUGUGGGUUUGCUGUGUUGAAUACCUAAUCAAUGGUAUCGGUUGGAUUGAUCAAUGUUUCAUUUCGUCUGUCGUCGCACUCGCGGCGUGAGAUGAACCUUGAUGCGGUCUCUUUGAUCCACCUCAUUGAAGCACAUGCUUUGAUGUUGUGGCGCAUUGAGCAUUGCUUGGUCUCUUGCAUACAGAACAUGUAGUGGGCAUGAAUCUAACGAUUCUUGUUUGCCUUUAUAUUAGCGUAACGCUUCUCUUACACGACUUGCUCU